rnacentral:rRNA from 1 species
GACGAACGCUGGCGGCGUGCCUAAUACAUGCAAGUCGAGCGGAAGUUGGAGAGCUAGCUCUUCAACUUUAGCGGCGGACGGGUGAGUAAUGCCUAGGAAUCUGCCUAUUAGUGGGGGACAACGUUUCGAAAGGAACGCUAAUACCGCAUACGUCCUACGGGAGAAAGCAGGGGACCUUCGGGCCUUGCGCUAAUAGAUGAGCCUAGGUCGGAUUAGCUAGUUGGUGAGGUAAUGGCUCACCAAGGCGACGAUCCGUAACUGGUCUGAGAGGAUGAUCAGUCACACUGGAACUGAGACACGGUCCAGACUCCUACGGGAGGCAGCAGUGGGGAAUAUUGGACAAUGGGCGAAAGCCUGAUCCAGCCAUGCCGCGUGUGUGAAGAAGGUCUUCGGAUUGUAAGGCACUUUAAGUUGGGAGGAAGGGUCGUUGCCUAAUACGUGACGGUUUUGACGUUACCGACAGAAUAAGCACCGGCUAACUCUGUGCCAGCCGCCGCAGUAACAC